CAGAUUGUCUUCUUCUCCGUCUUUGCUCAUUCUAUGU
rnacentral:sRNA from 1 species